rnacentral:rRNA from 1 species
GACGUAGGGCGCGAGCGUUGUCCGGAUUUAUUGGGCGUAAAGAGCUCGUAGGCGGCUUGUCGCGUCGAAUGUGAAAACCCACGGCUCAACUGUGGGCUUGCAUUCGAUACGGGCAGGCUAGAGUUCGGUAGGGGGAGACUGGAAUUCCUGGUGUAGCGGUGAAAUGCGCAGAUAUCAGGAGGAACACCGGUGGCGAAGGCGGGCUCACUGGGCCUA